rnacentral:rRNA from 1 species
UCAGUAACACGUGGCCAAACUACCCUGUGGAUGGGAACAAUCUCGGGAAACUGAGGCUAAUUCCCAAUAACGCUCCGCCCCUGGAACGGGCGGAGCUGGAAACGCUACGGCGCCACAGGAUGUGGCUGCGGUCGAUUAGGUAGACGGUGGGGUAACGGCCCACCGUGCCAAUAAUCGGUACGGGUUGUGAGAGCAAGAGCCCGGAGACGGAAUCUGAGACAAGAUUCCGGGCCCUACGGGGCGCAGCAGGCGCGAAACCUUUACACUGUACGCAAGUGCGAUAAGGGGACUCCGAGUGUGAAGGCAUAGAGCCUUCACUUUUGUACACCGUAAGGUGGUGUACGAAUAAGGGCUGGGCAAGACCGGUGCCAGCCGCCGCGGUAAUACCGGCAGCCCGAGUGAUGGCCGAUAUUAUUGGGCCUAAAGCGUCCGUAGCUGGCCGGACAAGUCCGUUGGGAAAUCUGUUCGCUUAACGAGCAGGCGUCCAGCGGAAACUGUUCGGCUUGGGACCGGAAGACCUGAGGGGUACGUCCGGGGUAGGAGUGAAAUCCUGUAAUCCUG